rnacentral:rRNA from 1 species
UAGCCAUGCAAGUCUCAGUACGAACUGACUUAAUGUGAAACCGCAAAAGGCUCAGUAAACCGGUCAUAGUUUACCGGAUAUAUGCCACUUACGUGGAUAACUGUGGUAAUUCUAGAGCUAAUACAUGCAAACAAGCCCCGACCAGCGAUGGAGAGGGCGCUUUUAUUGGAUCAAAACCUUUCGCCCGGCUUGCCCGGGCGUCGGCUUGACGACUCUAGAUAACACCACAGAUCGCACGGUCACAGUACCGGUGACAUAUCCUUCAAAUGUCUGACUUAUCAGCUGUCGAUGGUAGACUCUGUGUCUACCAUGGCGCUCACGGGUGACGGGGAAUCAGGGUUCGAUUCCGGAGAGGGAGCCUGAGAAACGGCUACCACAUCCAAGGAAGGCAGCAGGCACGCAAAUUACCCACUCCCGGCACGGGGAGGUAGUGACAAAAAAUAACGAUACGGGACUCAUCCGAGGCCCCGUAAUCGGAAUGAGAACACCCUAAAUCCUUUAACGAGGAUCUAUUGGAGGGCAAGUCUGGUGCCAGCAGCCGCGGUAAUUCCAGCUCCAAUAGCGUAUAUUAAAGUUGUUGCGGUUAAAAAGCUC